rnacentral:lncRNA from 1 species
CUACACACAGCCUUCCCUCAGGUAAUCCCAUUCGCUACACAGAGCCUUCCCCAGGGUAAUUCCAUCAGCUACACACCCUUCCUCAGUUAAUUCCAUUCAGCUACACAGAGCCUUCCCUCAGGUAAUCCAUUCAGCUACACACAGCCUUCCCUCAGGUUAAUUCCAUUCAGCUACACAGAGCCUUCCCUCAGUGUAAUUCCAUUCAGCUACACAGAGCCUUCCCUCAGGUUAAUUCCAUUCAGCUAACACACGCUUCCCUCAGUGUAAUUCCAUUCAGCUACACAGAGCAUUCCCUCAGGUUAUCCAUUCAGCUACACACAGCCUUCCCUCAGUGUAAUUCCAUUCAGCUACACACAGACCGUCCCUCAGGUUAAUUCCAUUCAAGCUACACACAGCCUUCCCUCAGGUAAUUCCAUUCAGCUACACACAGCCUCCCUCGGGGUAAUUCAAUUCAGCUACACACAGCCUUCCCUCGGGUUAAUUCCAUUCAGCUAACACAGCCUUCCCUCAGGUAAUUCCAUUAGCGCUACACAGAGCCUUCCCUCAGGUUAAUUCCAUUCAGCUAAACACAGCCUCCCUCAGUGAAUUCCAUUCCGCUACACAGAGCAUUCCCUCAGGUUAAUUCCAUAGCUACACACAGCCUUCCCUCAGUGUAAUUCCAUUCAGCUACACAGAGCCUUCCCUCAGCGAAUUCCAUCACUACACACACACAGCCUUCCCCGGCGUAAUUCCAUUCAGCUACACACAGCCUUCCCUCAGGGUAAUUCCAUUCAGUA